AAAAUGGCUAAAACAUUGCUAGUGUUCUGUUAACUUUCUCCUCAGUCUCCCAACUAGCUUGGGAACUCUGGUUCCCAAAGAGAACUUGAUUGAACUCAGUUAAAAUUUAAACAAGACAGCUUUCUCUCCUGCCCUUUAAAAAAUCCCAUCCAGAGAUCAGUCCCAUGGUUUUCACUGGCACUUCACGUACCAUUCUCUGGUCUUCACGGCAUACUGCUAAAGAAAGUUGCAACCAAGAAACAGAAAAUGGAUGCAGUUUUGAAAGAAUUCAGCUGACCAUGCCAAUUCCCUGGCGGACAUCAGAUUAGAGGAACCAGGAUGGGGAAACAGUGAUCAGAUAAUGAGCCUUGCUGGCCACCUGACAGCUUACCACCAGCGUAUUAGCAUCAGCUGUGAGGAACCCAGCACUGACAGAGGAAUGAAGGCUCACCUCCAAAGCCAGUUGGUGGGAAUGAGCAAGUGCUGGAGAAUGCUGGUGGCUCCUUUCUUCCCUCUACCAUUUAGAAGAAAAGCAUGGAAAUUUGUUCUCUCCACUACUGGCUUAUAAAGUCCUUGGGGAUCUUCUUCUUCUUCYUUUUUWUUUUAUUUUAUUUUUUAUUUUUUUCCCCGAAGAGUUUGCACAUCUCUAAUCAAGGUAUCUGAAAGUCCUAUCUGAACACAAACAAUAAAGAUAAAAACACUAGGCA
rnacentral:lncRNA from 1 species